CGCACGGUAGUUUAAAAGGUAAAACGCACACGGCCAUAAAGUGGGAAAUAUGGGUUCGAAUCCCAUCCGUGCAA
rnacentral:tRNA from 1 species